AUUGAACGCUGGCGGCGUGCUUUACACAUGCAAGUCGAACGGCAGCACGGGUGCUUGCACCUGGUGGCGAGUGGCGGACGGGUGAGUAAUGCAUCGGAACGUGUCCUGAAGUGGGGGAUAACGCAUCGAAAGAUGUGCUAAUACCGCAUAUUCUCUGAGGAGAAAAGUAGGGGAUCGAAAGACCUUAUGCUUUUGGAGCGGCCGAUGUCUGAUUAGCUAGUUGGUAAGGUAAUGGCUUACCAAGGCAACGAUCAGUAGUUGGUCUGAGAGGACGGCCAGCCACACUGGGACUGAGACACGGCCCAGACUCCUACGGGAGGCAGCAGUGGGGAAUUUUGGACAAUGGGCGCAAGCCUGAUCCAGCAAUGCCGCGUGAGUG
rnacentral:rRNA from 1 species